UACGGAGGGGGCUAGCGUUGUUCGGAAUUACUGGGCGUAAAGCGCACGUAGGCGGCUUUGUAAGUUAGAGGUGAAAGCCCGGGGCUCAACUCCGGAAUUGCCUUUAAGACUGCAUCGCUAGAAUUGUGGAGAGGUAAGUGGAAUUCCGAGUGUAGAGGUGAAAUUCGUAGAUAUUCGGAAGAACACCAGUGGCGAAGGCGGCUCACUGGACUGGUAUUGACGCUGAGGUGGCGAAAAGCGUGGGGAGCAAACAGG
rnacentral:rRNA from 1 species